rnacentral:rRNA from 1 species
GGACCCGCACAAGCGGUGGAGUAUGUGGCUUAAUUCGAUGCAACGCGAAGAACCUUACCUAGGCUUGACAUGCUUGUCGUACUCUCCCGAAAAGGAGAGGUCACUUCGGGUGGACAAUGCACAGGUGCUGCAUGGCCGUCGUCAGCUCGUGUCGUGAGAUGUUUGGUUAAGUCCAGCAACGAGCGCAACCCCUGUGAACUGUUGCCAGCGCGUAAAGGCGGGACUCUGUUCAGACUGCCCAGAUCAACUGGGAGGAAGGUGGGGACGACGUCAGGUCAGUAUGGCCCUUACGCCUAGGGCUGCACACGUACUACAAUGCCCAGCACAAUGAGAACCGAGACCGCAAGGUG